rnacentral:rRNA from 1 species
GAUGAACGCUAGCGGCAGGCCUAAUACAUGCAAGUCGAACGGUGUAGCAAUACACAGUGGCGCACGGGUGCGUAAGACGUAUACAACAUACCUGACAUUGGGGGAUAGCCUUUCGAAAGGGAGAUUAAUACCGCAUAAGACAGUAACUAGGCAUGUAGUAGCUGUUAAAGAUUUAUCGAUGUAAGAUGAGGAUGCGUCCAGUAAGUUAGUUGGCGAGGUAAUGGCUCACGAAGACGAUGAUUGGUAGGGGAACUGAGAGUUCAAUCCCCCACACUGGAACUGAGAUGCGGGCCAGACUCCUACGGGAGGCAUCAGUAGGGAAUAGUGGGCAAUGGACGCACGCCUGACCCAGCCAUGCCGCGUGCAGGAAGAAGGCGUUAUUCGUUGUAAACUGCUUUUAUACAGGAAGAAACGACCCUUGCAAGGGGCAUUGACGGUACUGUAUGAAUAAGCACCGGCUAACUCCGUGCCAGCAGCCGCGGUAAGAC